UGAUGUUUGUGUUAGAUUGAGGGAUGUUGGGUGUGGUGAAUCUUGCUGUGAUUAGGCUCAAACAAAGUGGUUUAUGUGCAUUCUGGUAUGUUGGUGCUUGGUAAAGCUGAGUUUGUUGAUUUGAGGCAUGUUUCAUGUGUUUUUUUUGUCAAAAUCACAACUUGAGUUGGAGAAUUGGAUAGCUUGGAAUAAGACACUUGAUUGGGAGUUCUAGCACUCAAUUUCAUUCCCUAAGGAUUUGAACAAGUUUGUAUAGUGUAAUCACACUAAUCUGGGCUGAAUUGAGUGUUUAGAAGUAUCAAAAUCGAAAAGUCAAAGUUGAGUUGGACCUAAAAUGACUUCUGCAGAAUUCUGCAGAUUUUCUGCAUAAUUGACG
rnacentral:lncRNA from 1 species